rnacentral:rRNA from 1 species
UACGUAGGGUGCGAGCGUUAAUCGGAAUUACUGGGCGUAAAGCGUGCGCAGGCGGUGAUGUAAGACAGGUGUGAAAUCCCCGGGCUUAACCUGGGAACUGCAUUUGUGACUGCACGGCUAGAGUGUGUCAGAGGGGGGUAGAAUUCCACGUGUAGCAGUGAAAUGCGUAGAGAUGUGGAGGAAUACCGAUGGCGAAGGCAGCCCCCUGGGAUAACACUGACGCUCAUGCACGAAAGCGUGGGGAGCAAACAGG